rnacentral:lncRNA from 1 species
CUGCUCCGAACCUUCCCUGUAGUGGAGUCUGUACUAUAUAUAUAACCUUUGUGUCUGGAUCUCACCAAGCACCAUGGCUUGGAGGUCCCUGCAUGUGGCUGGCCCCGUUCCCUCUAUGUGUUCUCAGUGUGUGCUGUGUGUACUUCACAUACCUUAAAGGAGCAGAGAGCCCCUCCCCACCCUGUGCCAGCACAGGCUGAUCACCCUGACCCCAGGUCUCAGAACAUGUCUCAGAUGGCCCCAGUCCUUUGGCGAGCUGUGGUGACACCAGGCCAGCCCAUGGGCUGGUGCCUCUCCUGCCUAAGUCCCAAAGCAGCCUAUGACAGGACGGGCAAACAGCACAGCUCAGCAGCUGGCCGUGGGGCCUUGGGCAGGGGUCAUCAUCCUCCUGUUCCAAAUACCAGCAGCUGCUCUGUAAGGUCACAUUGGUGUCCCUGCUGUGUUGCCAGUCCCCUCCCCAACCUGCAAAGCUUCCUCCAGCCUGUGAGUGCAGAAGUGAGUCCUGGCAGGAGGACCAGAGUCACUCUCUUGAGUUUUGUAGCCCCCACAGUUGUGUGUUCUUUGUACUGUCAAGUAGGUCAUGGGAUGGACAGCCGACCAGCCAUGGCCAUCUUUGAGCUGCUGGACUACAUAGUGAAUGAGCCACCUCCCAAGCUGCCCAGUGGUGUGUUCAGCUCAGACUUCCAGGAGUUUGUGAAUAAAUGUCUCAUUAAGAACCCAGCAGAGCGUGCAGACCUCAAGCUGCUGACGGUGAGUGAGUGGAGGUGUCUCCUGGGCCAAGGACUGGGGCUGUCUGCCGGACGGGAAAAGUCUGGAUGCUGCCAGUCUCGGCAGUCUGAUGUUAGAAGUGGUGCAGAGGUGAGGGUGUGCUUCGAUGCCCACCUCU